rnacentral:rRNA from 1 species
UACGGAGGGGGCUAGCGUUAUUCGGAAUUAUUGGGCGUAAAGGGCGCGUAGGCGGCUUGCCAAGUCAGGGGUGAAAUCCUGCAGCUUAACUGUAGAAGGGCCUUUGAUACUGGCGAGCUCGAGGGAGGUAGGGGUAUGUGGAACUUCCGGUGGAGCGGUGAAAUGCGUUGAUAUCGGAAGGAACGCCGGUGGCGAAAGCGACGUACUGGACCUCUUCUGACGCUGAGGCGCGAAAGCUAGGGGAGCGAACGGG